rfam:Tinamus guttatus contig45678, whole genome shotgun sequence.
UUUUAAUCAGUGACAGUGAUCUACUAUUAAAU